rnacentral:rRNA from 1 species
AUGGGUAUUGGUGUCGUCGUUCGAAAUCACAGUGGGGACUGUCUUGUUGCUUGCAACAAAGUGUUUCCUGGUAUUACUGAACCAGAGCUUGCUGAGGCUCUUGCCAUUCGGCACGCUUUGAACAUCUGCCAAGCUGAAGGCUUCAUGCAUAUCAGUCUAGUGUCAGAUUGCCUCUCUAUGGUGAACAAGAUCAGGUCUCCUGUCCAAGAUCGUUCGAGUGUGGGCGCCGUUGUCUCCGACAUCAAGUCUCUGGCUGUUAGUUUUACCCACUGUACUUUCUCACAUGUCAAGCGUGGACUGAAUGUAGCGGCACAUAAACUAGCACGGAGCUGUGAGCUAGCUGUAAACUGCUUUUACCGUGGUGUGGCUCCGGAUUGCAUCCGGGACGAACUGUAUUCUGAUGUUCCUUAA